GCCAGGCAUGGUGGUGCAUGCCUGUAGUCCCAGCUACUUGGGAGGCUGAGGCUGGAGGAUCACUUGAACCUGGGAGGUGUAGGUUACAGUGAGCCAUUAUUGUGCCACUGUACUCUAGCCUAGGUGCCAGAGUGAGACCCCGUCUGCA
ensembl:misc_RNA Metazoa_SRP Metazoan signal recognition particle RNA